AUUGAACGCUGGCGGCAUGCCUUACACAUGCAAGUCGAACGGCAGCACGGGAGCAAUCCUGGUGGCGAGUGGCGAACGGGUGAGUAAUAUAUCGGAACGUGCCCAGUCGUGGGGGAUAACGUAGCGAAAGCUACGCUAAUACCGCAUACGAUCUAUGGAUGAAAGCGGGGGAUCGCAAGACCUCGCGCGAUUGGAGCGGCCGAUAUCAGAUUAGGUAGUUGGUGAGGUAAAGGCUCACCAAGCCGACGAUCUGUAGCUGGUCUGAGAGGACGACCAGCCACACUGGGACUGAGACACGGCCCAGACUCCUACGGGAGGCAGCAGUGGGGAAUUUUGGACAAUAGGGCGCAAGCCUGAUCCAGCAAUGCCGCGUGCAGGAUGAAGGCCUC
rnacentral:rRNA from 1 species